CAGCAAUGUGCCGCAAGGCAUCCAGCCUGCCGGAAAUUCAGAAGAAGAAGAAGAAGAAGCAGGAAGAGCUCAGCGCUGCCUCCCAGAGAAGCUAAUGUGCAGUCGGGGUGUAAGUACCUGCUUUAAACAACGAUAUAUGGCACAAUUCUUAACUUCUACCACCCAAUACCAACACAUUAUUAUCGUUACAAGUCCUCAUUUUUGCUGCAUUUAAUCAUAGGUUACUGUUUAUGUUGUUAGGUAGGAGUUCGCUGACGUUUUUUCUAGCUAGCAAACGCUCCAGGUGGUCAGUGUCUGUUUGAGCUGCUGUUGUGUCAAGUGCAUGUGUUCAUAUUAAAGCCAAGGUGCUACUGACUAGCUAACUGACUGGAUGCACAUUAACAUUAGAACUCCUAUUGUGUGUGUGUGUGUGUGUGUGUGUGUGUGUGUGUGUGUGUGUGUGUGUGUGUGUGUGUGUGUGUGUGUGUGUCUGUCUGUCUGUCUGUCUGUCUGUCUGUCUGUCUGUCUGUCUGUCUGUCUGUCUGUCUGUCUGUCUGUCUGUCUGUGUGUGUGUGUGUGUGUGUGUGUCUGUGUGUGUAUGUGUGUGUGUGUGUGUGUGUACAGACAGACAGACAGACAGACAGACAGACAGCCUCAUCAUGGACACCGAAAAGUUGUAAGAAAAAAUGAAAGCUGCUACCAGCCUCUCGCUUUUACAAAGUAUUUUUCAUGGUUAUUUUUUGGCUCUUUAACCCAAUAGGAAAGCUGUAUAUGACCUUUUCAUUUUGGACUGUUAACAUUCAAAUUAUGAUGGACUUGUUUCCUUGUUUAUGUGAAUUACAGCAUCAUUAGCUGCAACAUCUGCCUGUUCUGUAAAACUGGUAGCUCAACGACAGCAUCCUGAGGGCAAUUAAGUGACAAAUAUUGUGCAAGAACAGCAUGAUUACAACCCUGUCAAUUUCCACUUCUUAGAAUGUUUACUGUCAAUUAUCACACAUAAAACAAG
ensembl:lncRNA